GGAGCCGAAAGCGGUCGAAGAUACCAGGUGGCUGCAACUGUUUACUAAAAACACAGCACUCUGCAAACGCGUAAGCGGACGUAUAGGGUGUGACGCCUGCCCGGUGCCGGAAGGUUAAUUGAUGGUGUUAGCCGUAAGGCGAAGCUCUUGAUCGAAGCCCCGGUAAACGGCGGCCGUAACUAUAACGGUCCUAAGGUAGCGAAAUUCCUUGUCGGGUAAGUUCCGACCUGCACGAAUGGCGUAAUGAUGGCCACACUGUCUCCACCCGAGACUCAGUGAAAUUGAAAUCGCCGUGAAGAUGCGGUGUACCCGCGGCUAGACGGAAAGACCCCGUGAACCUUUACUAUAGCUUCACACUGACCGCUGAUGUUGCCUGUGUAGGAUAGCUGGGAGGCUUUGAAACUCUGUCGCCAGAUGGAGUGGAGCCAACCUUGAAAUACCAGCCUGGCAUCAUUGGCGUUCUCACUCAGGUCCGUUAUCCGGAUCGAGGACCGUGUGUGGUGGGUAGUUUGACUGGGGCGGUCUCCUCCUAAAGAGUAACGGAGGAGCACGAAGGUACCCUCAGUACGGUUGGAAAUCGUGCAUUGAGUGCAAGAGCAUAAGGGUGCUUGACUGCGAGACAGACACGUCGAGCAGGUACGAAAGUAGGUUCUAGUGAUCCGGUGGUUCUGUAUGGAAGGGCCAUCGCUCAACGGAUAAAAGGUACUCCGGGGAUAACAGGCUGAUACCGCCCAAGAGUUCACAUCGACGGCGGUGUUUGGCACCUCGAUGUCGGCUCAUCACAUCCUGGGGCUGAAGUCGGUCCCAAGGGUAUGGCUGUUCGCCAUUUAAAGUGGUACGCGAGCUGGGUUUAGAACGUCGUGAGACAGUUCGGUCCCUAUCUGCCGUGGGCGUUGGAGAUUUGAGAAGUGCUGCUCCUAGUACGAGAGGACCGGAGUGGACGAACCUCUGGUGUUCGGGUUGUCACGCCAGUGGCAUUGCCCGGUAGCUAUGUUCGGACAGGAUAACCGCUGAAAGCAUCUAAGCGGGAAGCCCCCUUCAAGAUGAGAUCUCCCCGAGGCCUUGAGCCUCCUGAAGGGCCCAGCAAGACUAGCUGGUUGAUAGGCCGGGUGUGGACGCACCAAUAGGUGUUGAGCUAACCGGUACUAAUUGCCCGUGAGGCUUGACCAU
rnacentral:rRNA from 1 species